CCCGUUUCGGCUCGGUGAAGCUACCUAUGGGUUGCUGUUCAUUUAACAAACGGUGAUCCGGAUAAACAUGUUCACUUCUUCGCCUGGGCAAACUUUCCAGCCCCCGACCCACUCAUGUCACGAUACCUUCCCGUGUCCAAGUCCGGCUCUCUGCUCCCCACUUUUUUUUUUUUUUUUUUUUGAGACAGAGUGUUUCUCUGUCUCCCAGGCUGGAGUGCAGUGGCGCGAUCUCAACUCACAGUACCCCCUGCCUCCCGGGUUCAAACGAUUUUCUUGCCUCAGCCUCCUGAGUAGCUGGGAUUACAGGCGCGCGCCACCACAGCCGGCUAAUUUUUAUGUUUUAGUAGAGACAGGGUUUCACCAUGUUGGCCAGGAUGGUCUCCAUCUCUUGACCUCGUGAUCCGCCCGCCUCGGCCUCUCAAGGUGCUGGGAUUACAGGUGUGAGCCGCCGCGCCCGGCCUCUUUGCUCUUUUAUACUCUCAGAAGCAAUGAGUUCUGGUUAAAAAAAAGGGCUCGAUAGACGGAAAAAAUGAAGGCUUAAAGAACUGACAACAAAAUAUUAACAUUUGGCUUGUGGAAUUCUUACACUCUCGUAAGCAGAAAAAACAAAUGUUAUGGCAAAAAAGUGUCUCAGACAAAUCCGUCUUGGGGGGAAAAAAAUUAAAAGAAUGAGAAAAACAGACUUCGGAAUAAAUAGACCCAAAGGAGGAAGUAUUGAAAAUGGCAAGAUUCACUUUUACAAACUUAUUUGGAACCACGGCAGAUGGCCAGGGCAGGGAUUUUGCAAGGCAGCUCCAGUUGAGCAGUUGAUUUCUCACCGCCCACCCCCGACCCCACCACUAUUGAUCAUGAGGUGCUUUGAGGGGUCCGGGUUUGGAGGACUGAAACACCGUGGGAUCUUGGAACAGCUCUUCCUUGUUGGUGAUCCCUUAUUAAGAAGCCCUCCAGCCUGACAAUGCUGAAGCCCUGGAGGUUGGAGCCACUCAGGAAGAAGCUCAGCCCUGGAAAAGCAAAAACCCAUUGGAUCCAGAGGUGCCUGAGUUGGAGAUGAACUUUGGAACUUCCCUCAUAACCGUACUAAAAUCCCUGACCAGAGAGUAACUUAUUUGCCAUUUUCUAUACAUGUGACAUAUGUAGAAGCAUGAUCAAUGACAGCACAUGUGCUAUUAAUAUCUUGCUCCAUCUCGACAUACAGUGACUCAGCUCACCAGGCCAACAAAAGGCCUGUUUUCACCUUUGAUUGGAGGAGGCACUCCUUUGAGAACUAUCCCCCAUGUCCUCCUCAUUUGUUGCCACUAAUAAAAUCCCUUUAAGUCCCCAUUGCUUAAGUCCCCAUUGGUUGUGGUCACUGGACUGCCACCUGCCAUGUGAUGGCACUGACCCGUUGUAUGGGUAACAAAACUUAUACAGUGUAUCACUGUCCUGGAUACUGCAGGCAAUUGGAAUGCAAUGCUAAGCAUUUGCAUAACUAAACAUAGAAAAGGUACAGUAGGACUAGGUGUGAUGGCUCACACCUGUAGUCCCAGCACUUUGGGAGGCUGAGGCAGGCAGAUCAGUUGAGCCCAGGAAUUUGAGAUCAGCCUGAACAACAUGGAGAAAUGCAGUCUCUACAAAAAAUACAAAAAUUAGCUGGGAGUAAUGGCCUGUGCCUGUAAUCCCAGUUACUGAGGAGGCUAAAGUGGGAGGAUCCCUUGAGCCCAGGAGUCUGAGGCUGCAGUGAGUCAUGAUCUUGCCUCUGUGCUCCAGCCUGGGCAAUAGAGUGAGACCCUGUCUCAAAAAAAAAAAAAAAAGAUACAGUAAAACUAUGGUAUUAUAGGCCAGGUGUAGUGGCUCACGCCUGUAAUCUCAGCACUUUGGGAAACCAAGACAGGUGGAUUGCUUGAGGCCAGGAGUUCAAAACCAGCCUGACCAACAUGACGAAACCCCAUCUCUACUAAAAAUACAAAAAAUUAGCCAGGUGUGGUGGUGGGCACCUGUAAUCCCAGCUACUAGGGAGGCUGAGGCAGGAGAAUCGUUUGAACCCGGGAGGUGAGGGUUGCAGUGAGCCGGGAUCACGCCACUGUACUCCAGCCUGGGCAACAAGACU
rnacentral:lncRNA from 10 species